AUACUUAUCUAGCAGGGGAGAUACCAUGAUCACAAAGGUGGUUUUCCCAGGGCGAGGUUUAUCCAUUGUACUCCAGAUGUGCUGACCCCUGCAAUUUCCCCAAAUGUGGGAAAGUCGACUGCAUAAUUUGUGGUAGUGGGGGACUGCAUUCUCACUAUCCCCUA
rnacentral:snRNA from 1 species